CAGUGUUCCCUGCCCCUCGGGGUAGGAUCGCCACCCUUGAUUAUUUUAUGAGUGUUGCUUUGGCGGGCCCCGCGGCCUGGCCCGCGCCCCGGCUCCGGCGGGGGGAGCGCCCGCCAGAGGAUUCUAUAAACCUGAUUAUCAGUGUCGUCUGAGUACUAUAUAAAUAGUUA
rnacentral:misc_RNA from 1 species